rnacentral:rRNA from 1 species
GACGAACGCUGGCGGCGUGCCUAAUACAUGCAAGUAGAACGCUGAAGGAGGAGCUUGCUCUUCUGGAUGAGUUGCGAACGGGUGAGUAACGCGUAGGUAACCUGCCUGGUAGCGGGGGAUAACUAUUGGAAACGAUAGCUAAUACCGCAUAAGAGUAGAUGUCGCAUGACAUUUGCUUAAAAGGUGCAAUUGCAUCACUACCAGAUGGACCUGCGUUGUAUUAGCUAGUUGGUGAGGUAACGGCUCACCAAGGCAACGAUACAUAGCCGACCUGAGAGGGUGAUCGGCCACACUGGGACUGAGACACGGCCCAGACUCCUACGGGAGGCAGCAGUAGGGAAUCUUCGGCAAUGGACGGAAGUCUGACCGAGCAACGCCGCGUGAGUGAAGAAGGUUUUCGGAUCGUAAAGCUCUGUUGUAAGAGAAGAACGAGUGUGAGAGUGGAAAGUUCACACUGUGACGGUAUCUUACCAGAAAGGGACGGCUAACUACGUGCCAGCAGCCGCGGUAAUACGUAGGUCCCGAGCGUUGUCCGGAUUUAUUGGGCGUAAAGCGAGCGCAGGCGGUUAGAUAAGUCUGAAGUUAAAGGCUGUGGCUUAACCAUAGUACGCUUUGGAAACUAUUUAACUUGAGUGCAAGGGGGGAGAGUGGAAUUCCAUGUGUAGCGGUGAAAUGCGUAGAUAUAUGGAGGAACACCGGUGGCGAAAGCGGCUCUCUGGCUUGUAACUGACGCUGAGGCUCGAAAGCGUGGGGAGCAAACAGG